UCGCCUGUUUAUCAAAAACAUCUCUUCCUGAAGUAUACUGGAAGUAGGCCCUGCCCGGUGCCCUGCGGGGUUAACGGCGGUGUUAAACCUUAAAGUAGCGUGAUAGAUUGGCCUUUAAUUGGGGUCUGGUAUGAAUGGGUUGACGUCGGAAACGCUGUCUCAAAAAAAUAUAAUGAAAUUUACUUUUCAGUGAAAAGGCUGAAAUUUGAGUAAAAGACGAGAAGACCCUAUCGAGCUUGAGGGAUUCUAAUGUUGUAAAACCGUUAGAAGGAGUUUGGCUGGGGCAGCAACGGAGGUAACCUCCGUUUUUAAGUCGAAGAUCCAUUAGAUUGGUUAAUGAUAAGAGGAAAAAGUUACCGUAGGGAUAACAGCACCAGACCGCCUCAGAGGCCGUAUCGAAGGCGGAAGGUGUGACCUCGAUGUUGGAUCAGGGUGAACCGCAUGGUGCAGGAGCUAUGCAGGUGGGACUGUUCUUCCUUUAAUCCCCUACGUGAUCUG
rnacentral:rRNA from 1 species